ensembl:lncRNA
GGUGAGGAUUUUCUCUGCAUGCUCGCCAGGGAUUCAGAAAAGCUGCUUUGUGGGGAAAUCUUUUGUGAAAAUACAAAAGAUUACAAAGCAUUUGAAGUGAGCAUAAUUGAAAACAAACCAAUUAGCUAUUAUUGAUAUUUGAAAGGAAUUAGAUUCAUUAUAACAGCAACUAAAUGUUGCCACCACAAUGCUUAUAUGAUGUUAUUUGGCUGCAAAGCUGUUCUGAAUGGUUAUAAACAUAUUGUGACAUGUUACUUACUGGAUCGUAUAAAAAGUCUCUUUAUGAUGAUUGUGUCCCUCAUUCCAUAUUUUGUAAUUUAAUGAAAAUCACAAGAUACCCACAUUAAAAAAAAAACCCACAUAGUUUCAGAUAUCUAUGGCUCAUAGCACAAAUAAUGUGAGAUAUGCAAAACUCAUAAAAUGAAUACGCAGGGUUAAGGGUUUGCUUAAAUCCCUAACCCUAAUUAUAUGCAAUUGUAAUUACGAUAAAUCCAUUCCAUAAAUUUCAGUCUCGUAAUAAAAUGGAUUCUUUGGGCGCUCUGCAAGCAAUAUAAAUGUAAUAAAUAUACAAAUUGCUUAAAAAAGGUGAAGCUUUUAAUACAAGCACAUAAUGGGCAAUCUGCAAAACUUACCGAGUACAGGCUACAGUCGUUCACAUACACUAAAUAUCAGACACAAACAGAAAAAGGAAAUAAAUAGUCCAAAAAAAUCAAACAAUGUCCAAGAGAAGAUAUGUUCAUUCUCAAACUAAAUUGCUUGGAGUUUGUAAGAUUAAGUUCAACAGAAUCAAAGAACCCUUCAGAGAUAAAAUUCUAAAAUGAGACUAACUGAUAUUGUGAAUACAACAUAGUGCUUGAAAAAAAAAUUGCUUGCAUGCUACGUUAAUAGCAUAGAUGGUCUGUGUACACUUGUUCUUUGCCACAAACGGCAAAACAAAAGGUUGAGGGCAAUACAUGAUUGGUUUAAAUCAAAACAUCUCUGCCAACAUCCUCUCAGACCUACAUUAUAUUUUCUUGACUGACCAGAUUGUGAGAAAAAACUAAACAAAAUAUAGCCAGUCUUGAGAGAAGGAGAGAAGUCUAACAUUUAUAAAACUAAAAUUUUCUAUGAAAAACUUUUUGCACUCAGAAUUCACAGUGUCUCUCUGCACCUUUCAGGUACGUGAUGUUACGCAAGACCUGCAUUGUUGGGGUUAAGUCCACUGGAAAUGGUUUCGUAUCCUACAGAGACUAGCGUUAACAUGCUGCUCUCCAUCUCCGAGGACUGUUGAACCUCAGGAACAACAGAAUCCAGCCGCAUCUGUUUCCCUUUCUUCCGUCCCCUUUUGCCCUUUUCUUUAGGUUUGCCGUCUUCCGUGGCGGCUUUGGGCUUGCGGUUGCGUUUCCUUAUCCUUCUCACCGGAGGUUCAGGUUUGGGGUCGGUGUUCCCUGAGAGGAUUCGGAUUUGUCGGUCGAUGACGUUAUCUAUGAUAUCGAGAGCCACGUCCAUCAUGCCGUUACCAAGGCCAUGCGUAACAUUGGCGAACAAACGUGUAUUCAGAGGGUCAUUAAAAAUCUUCCUCAUCUCCUCUAGAUAAUUCCU